ACAUGCCUACAACAUAGCAUUAAUGUACCAGAUCCCAUUAGAAGUCUGCAAUUAAGCACGCUCAGGAUAGAGUAGUACUGGGAUGGGUGACCGCCCGUGAAGUCCUAGUAUUUUACAUGCC
rnacentral:rRNA from 1 species